AGUGAACGCUGGCGGUAGGCCUAACACAUGCAGGUCGAACGGCAGCACAGGAGAGCUUGCUCUCUGGGUGGCGAGUGGCGGACGGGUGAGGAAUACAUCGGAAUCUACUCUGUCGUGGGGGAUAACGUAGGGAAACUUACGCUAAUACCGCAUACGACCUACGGGCGAAAGCAGGGGACCUUCGGGCCUUGCGCGAUUGAAUGAGCCGAUGUCGGAUUAGCUAGUUGGCGGGGUAAAGGCCCACCAAGGCGACGAUCCGUAGCUGGUCUGAGGGGAUGAUCAGCCACACUGGAACUGAGACACGGUCCAGACUCCUACGGGAGGCAGCAGUGGGGAAUAUUGGACAAUGGGCGCAAGCCUGAUCCAGCCAUACCGCGUGGGUGAAGAAGGCCUUCGGGUUGUAAAGCCCUUUUGUUGGGAAAGAAAUCCAGCUGGCUAAUACCCGGUUGGGAUGACGGUACCAGCAUAAGAAGCACCGGCUAACUACGUGCCAGCCGCCGCCGUAA
rnacentral:rRNA from 1 species